rnacentral:piRNA from 1 species
CUGCACUUCAGGCACUUCAGGCCUUUCC